UUCCGGUUGAUCCUGCCGGAGGCGACCGCUUUGGGAGUUCGAUUAAGCCAUGCGAGUCGUGAGUCUUAGGGACUCGGCAUACUGCUCAGUAACACGUGGAUAACCUGCCCUAUCGUCUGGAAUAACCUCGGGAAACUGAGAAUAAGGCCGGAUAGUUCACAAUGCCUGGAACGGUUUGUGAAUCAAGGUAGGAUGGGUCUGCGGCGUAUCAGGUUGUAGGGGGUGUAAAGGACCCCCUAGCCUUCGACGCGUACGGGUGUUGGGAGACAUAGCCCGGAGAUGGAUUCUGAGACACGAAUCCAGACCCUACGGGGUGCAGCAGGCGCGAAAACUUCACACUGCAGGAAACUGUGAUGAGGGAACUCCUAGUGCAUGCACUAUGUGUAUGUAGAUCCUACUCUUAACAAGUAGAGGGAAAGGGCUGGGAAAGACCGGUGCCAGCCGCCGCGGUAAUACCGGCAGCUCAAGUGGUCGUCCCUUUUAUUGGGCCUAAAACGUCCGUAGCCUGUCUGGUAAAUCUGUGGGUAAAUCAAUCCGCUCAACGGAUUGAAUUCUGCAGAGACUGCCAGACUAGGGACCGGGAGAGGUGUGGGGUACUCGAGGGGUAGGGGUAAAAUCCUGUCAUCCUUCGAGGACCACCAGUUGCGAAGGCGCCACACUGGAACGGAUCCGACGGUCAGGGACGAAGCCUAGGGGCACGAACCGGAUUAGAUACCCGGGUAGUCCUAGGUGUAAACGCUGUGAACUUGGUGUCGGGGGUCCGCAAGGGGUCCCCGGUGCCGGAGUGAAGAUGUUAAGUUCACUGCCUGGGGAGUACGGUCGCAAGGCUGAAACUUAAAGGAAUUGGCGGGGCAGCAC
rnacentral:rRNA from 1 species